AGAGCGUAUGAAUGCAAUUGAUUCUGAUUAUAAUACGGCUGUUCCAAUGGAGAUUUCUGACUGGGAGAAAGAUUCAUCUUCUGUGACCGACUCCAAAGCUGUCACAAUGGAAGAUUCAGCCAAUGCAGAUCUAGUUAAUUCUGAAUAAAUAUCAGAUAUUGUGAAAGAUAUCAAAGUUAACGGCACUAUAUAUUCCUUUUCAGGAAUGGCAGCUUCAACCAAACCUCACAACUUGAGACGCGAAUCCCCCUUGAAUGGUUGGGAUGAUGAUAAUAGGAACAAUGGAGCCAAGAGAGCAG
rnacentral:misc_RNA from 1 species